CCAGAAGCCCACAGGUAAAGACAGGUGGAUUACAGCAACUCAGUGGCCAAUAACUCUAGUUCCAGGGACUCUCAUGUCCUCUUCCGACCUUCACAGGCACCAGACAAGCAUGCGGUACACAUACAUACAGUGGAGCAAAACCACUCCUAUACAUAAAAUAAGUAAGUCUCAUUUUUAAAACAUUUGUCUAUCUGUGCAGGUAUGUUUUGUGUGGGGGCACACUUGUGGGACAGCAUGCCUGGUAAAGGUCAAAAAACCAUUUGUAGGAGUUGGUUUCUCUUUUCACCCUGUGACUCCUGGGAUGGAUCUCAGACCACCAGGAUUAGCUUUGGGUCUGUUAUGGAAAAAGAACAAGAGAGCACUUUGGAAACAGAGGCAAAAAUCUGACAAUAAAGGAAGUUAAAAAAUAA